rnacentral:lncRNA from 1 species
AAUGUAUACACCCAUUGGGCAUGCGGCCCAACGGUAAGGGAAUUGAGCGGGACGGAAACAUUUAGCUUCAAAUGUGGAGUUUGACUUUUGUACUUUGCGAAGAGGUCGAGUAAAAGUGUGAGAUAAGAUUUAUAAAAUAAAAUAAAAUAAAAUGAAUAUAGCCAAUCUUUAUUCACACAUCAUUUUCAGUGGGGCAUUUGAAGGCUUUCAUUCAACAUUACCAUUUCAUCUAAGAUGCAUUCUCUUAUCUCAAAACGCCUUCGAGAUGUCAUUGCUACUGUGGCUGUGAUGACAUAGUGAAAACAAUUUAUUAUCUUUAUUCAUGUAUUAUGAAUACCAUCCUAAUUGACAUAAAAAUAUGUCAUGCUUUCAUUUUUGAUUGACUUAUUCUACCACGUGUCAUUACUACGUUACCUAACCAAUAAUGACAUGACCGUCACAUAAAACAUCUUCUUCAUGUGUAUGGGAUGGGAAGAAGUAAUGAUAAUUGAUUCAAAUAAUCGAUAAAAAUGGAAUUGCGGAUAGUGUAGUGGGAAAUGAGGUUCGGUUUAAAUUUGAUAACUACAAUAAUCGUUAUCAAACUCUUUCAAUAAGUAAAAGGAUAAUUAGGAGAGGAAAAAGCCAUCGAAACUAUCAUAAAAUAGAGAAUGACAUCCCACAAUAGGGGUUAAGUAUGUGUUUGAUUCAGCGCUUUGCAAAAACAUCCCAAAAGUCACUUAAACCAAACCUUAUUUGCUCAAAGCAAAUAAUGGGACUUUGCGUCUCAAAGACUGUUGGGGACUCUCAAAACUCUUCUGAAAUCACCCUAAAAACCCCGUUACUAUAAUGUCAUCAUUGGCCUAGUAUCUUCCUAGUCAGAAUGACUAUAUUUUUGUUACGGGAGGGGCUCCUUAAACCGUAUCUUUUGAUUAGUGGGAAAUAAACAUGAGUCGUAUUCAUGAUUUGGGAUCCAAUUUAAUUUAAUUGGUUGGACAAAAUUUUAUUUAAUCAAUAAUAGAAACAGAGUUCGUUUUAUCGUCCCGUGAGGCGAGUUUGAGUUUUCUUUGUUUUCUUACCGAAAGGAUCCUGACGAGGCCCAGUCCGAGGUUUCCAGAUGGACCGACCAGAUUCGCCUUUUCACUCGAACGUUCGUCUGUCGAACCUCGAAAGACCGCGAAUGUACUAGAAUGCUCCUCCGUUCCCUAUUUAGCAACCGAACGCAUCCUCUUCCAGACCACAUCGUCUGACGAUUGCAAUUCCUGUCCUAGUCCAAGCAUUCUGUCAAACACUUCUUAGUUAUUCGCUGGUAAUUCCACAACCAUGUCGCUCAUCCCAAGCUGGUUCGGUGGCCGUCGCAGCAACGUCUUGGACCCUUUCUCCCUCGACCUCUGGGACCCCUUCAAGGACUUCCCUUUCCCUUCCUCAGCCCUCUCCGCCUCUAAUUUCCCCCAGACGUUCGGGGAGAACACUGCCUUCGUGAACACGAGAAUCGACUGGAAGGAGACCCCGGAAGCCCACGUGUUCAAGGUGGAUCUCCCCGGGCUCAAGAAGGAGGAAGUCAAGGUGGAGAUUGAGGACGAUCGAGUGCUCCAGAUAAGCGGCGAGAGGAACGUGGAGAAGGAGGACAAGAACGACACGUGGCACCGGGUGGAGAGAAGCAGCGGGAAGUUCAUGAGGAGGUUCAGGGUGCCGGAGAACGCGAGGAUGGAUCAGGUGAAGGCGUCGAUGGAGAACGGGGUGCUCACCGUCAGUGUUCCCAAGGUGGAGGAGAAGAAGCCUGAGGUCAAGGCCAUCGAGAUCUCUGGUUGAGAGUGACGAUUCUACAUAGAGGAGCGUCUGUGUGUAUGCUGUGUUACUAUGCGGGUUUCGUGUGUCCUGAGUUGGGAGGCUCGGUCCCCUGGUUUCUGAUAUGGCUAUAUAUAUUUUCCUACUACGACUCUUCAAUUGUAAUGAAAUUCGAGUUGUCAUUUCCUAACUUCUGUUUGAUGUUAUCUUGGUUCCUCAACAGUCUUUCGAUUAUGUUUUGUUCGUGGGAUGCCGCUUAUUUUGUUUCGCAUACUGCUUCGGCGGAUGGGGAGUUUAAUUAGUUUCACUCUUGUCGGAUUAAUUCAAAUUCUGGGAAGGAUCCAUCAGAAGUGCAAGUGCCACACUUUGCACAUUGGCAUCGUUUUUUCAAUUGGGUUUGGAGGUACCUGGAAUAUAGAGAAGCUGAUAACUUUGGGAUUACAACAGGGUAGAAACCAUGUUACUCCUUUUGAGCUCAGCCCAAGGUGCAGGGUUGGGUUCCUUCUGCUGCAUUCGAUCACAUUUGUCAAAUAACAGGAUAAAAUAUCUCGAUUAGCCUUUUAUUUCUAGUGAUCAUCAUCAGAUCAGAGAGAGAUGAUCAAAUUCACUAGUUCCUCUAUUGCGGUGUGCGAAGAACCACCUUUUCUGAUGCUCAACUUGAUUUGGUCUUUGAGAGCCGCAGCUCUCAGCCUCAUCUCUUUCCCUUCCUCACCAACCAUCAGCCUCCUCACAGCUUGCUCUAUCUCUUUCUGGUCUAGAUCACCCUCCAACUCCAAUCCCACCCUCCAAACGUGGCACAGGUACCUCGCGUUCACAUUCUGGUCGAACAAGCACGGUUGGCAUAUCAUCGGGACUCCUUCGGAAAUGCUUUCCAAGGUCGAGUUCCAUCCACAAUGGGUCCAAAAGCCUCCCACGGCACGGUGUGCUAAAACAUCCUUCUGCGGAGCCCAUCUUAUGACACAGCCUGUUUCUUGGAUGGCUUCUUCGAACCCUUCUGGCGACAGCUCGAUCCACUCUGAGCCUCUGACUGAGCCAGGUCGGACCACCCACAAAAAUGGCUGGCCGCUGUUCGCCAGCCCCCAAGCUGUCUCUGCAAACUCUCUUUCAUCCAUCGAAGCCAAGCUUCCUAAGCUCACAUAUAUGACCGAAUCAUUAGCUUGCUUAUCAAGCCACAACAGGCAAUCGGUUUCUUCCUCCAAUAUGCUGGUUGGUAAACUUGGAGCAACUUUGUGCAACGGCCCUAGUGAGAAAAAUGGCACAUGGUAUUGUUUCUGGACUUGGUCUGAUAACUGUUCCUCCAGGCAGUCCACUGUGUUCCAAAGAAUGGCUGAAGAUGUCUUUAUAUCGAGUGCCGUAGCUAUUACCUGCACCAUUGGUUCUGGAUCGCUUGUAAAAAGAGGCAAGUCCUUGCAUCUCAAGGGAUAAGCGCCUGGAACUGGAUCUUUCGACGAACGAUCUGUAAAGUCAUAAAAACUGCUGCUUGGCAUGUAUUGCUUAUACGAUUUCAUAGUCUGAUAAAAACAUAAAAACUAGUCCGAGAUUUGAAUAUUCCAGCAAGAUAAAAAAGCGGUGGUCCUUUUUUUCCUAUUUUGUAUUUAGUGGACAUUCUUUCUUCCUCCCUAGUCAGAUUGCUCUGCAUUAAGGCCAGAAUAUGAUCUUUCACAAGCAGUUUCAGCAUGUGUGGUGCUGUUGACUUCAUUUCCAUGCUGUCUACUCUGAUUAAAGAGGUAAUAGGUGGUUUGGACAGCUGGGCUAACAUCUAGUGAGUGUUUCGUCUUCUGGAAACCGAGUCGCUGUGAAGACCUAGUAUGCUUACCUCCUCUUUGCAGCAAGUGCUUUUUACGAAGACACAAAGGUACCCUGUUAAAGUACUACUUUGUCGAAGAAAAAGAAAAUUACGAGCCGAACUCAAAAUGUGUCAACAUGGACUAAUGGUGCGAUCUGUCAAGGGAAAAUUAUAUUUGAACCACAUUGAUUAGUUCACUCUCUAUUUAGCUUGGCUAAACAAUCUCUUCGAAUUUUGAAGAGACCCUAAAUUUUGCUGUCGCAUUUCUUUGUGAUACAAACACAAUCAAAUCAGAAGCCCUUCCAGUUUAUCGGAGUUCCACCAAAGAAAGUGCAUUCUUAACAUCCAAUUGAUGCCGCAUGCUUGUUACUCUUGAUUUCUAGUGAAAUUACUGUCAAACUACAUCACAGAGGUGACUAGAAGGUUAUUGCGCAUACUGAUAUCUGAUAGUUUAUUGUCUGUUACUAUAUGAGGAUUGAACAUACCUUUCGGGGGAAAAUAACCUUCCUUUUGGAGCCGAGGCAAUUCAGAGAAAAUCAGCUGUGUGCCGAUACUACUAGUGCGCAAAGCCAUGCUAGGAAGUUUCACAUAAUAAGCUGCGGCUUCUGCACAAUACAUCAGCGAAUCAUAAAUCACGCAAGAGAUUUUACUCUCGGUUGCUCCAUCCUGUGCCAUCAUAUCUGACAAUACUUGGCGGAGAGGUCCUUCACAGUUGGUGUUGAGAUUUGCUGUAAUAGCUGCAGCAUCCCCCGAGGAGAGGACAUCCUUCGGUAAGAAGUCGGGAAUAGAAGCAAAGGUAAAAUUGGGGAAACCAGAUGGAUGGGGAUGACUGAAGUGUGUGUGAGCUAUUACAAUAGAGAAGCCCUUGGAAUGCAGGAGGGAUCCCAAAUUGAGCAUCGGGGUUAUGUGUCCUUGAGGGGGGCAGGGGACUAGCACCAAUCUACGAUUGCUUCUCUGCCCUCGUUCCUCCAUUUCUCUCAUGUGAUUACAACCAGAGCCUCUUUCCUGGAUGAACUCGUCAAAUGAAUGGUCUUAUAUUCAAUACUGGGUCGUUGGCAAAAUGUUAAGGAAAACAAAGAGAAAUCCUCUCAUUAAUUUGUUUUUCUUGCCAGGAGAGAAAAAUAAAGAAGUGGUAAACAAAUUGGCUGUCGCACCAUGAGACAUGUGGAGGAUCACCUACCCCAGGACACCAGAAAUUUUGUUUCCUUUCACGUCUGGCUUUGUUUAAUCUCACGUGGGAAUAUUCUUUUUCUCCCGCAAGAUUUCUAGUUAAUUCGAUUCCAUCCCAAAACUUGCUCUUAUCUCUUUGCGGAUUCAAAUUAUUUUGCUGCUGAGGCGACUCCCCCUAUACGAUGGCAUUGAAGUCCACUGCUACUGACAUCACCAGAAGCUCCUUAUAUAUGAGAAAUGGGGUGGUUAUAACUUGUUUUGAACACUGGUGCUUGUAACCUUCUUGAAAAAGUCACCAUACGGAAGCAGUACCUGGUAUAUAUGAAUGUUUUGUAACUGAAACUCACAGCCUUAAGUAAGCUGACAGAGCUUGUCUUAGUCAAAGACAGCUAGAGACAGCAGGACUCAGAAGCAAAAGAGCUUCGAAGUCUGCAUCCUUUCAGACACCUUUCUAUUUCUUGAGACAAAAUCAAGUGUAUCAAAAAAAUAUACAGCUUCAAAAUUCAGCUGCUGCAAAAGUCAAACUGAUCUGGGGGGUUCUCAUGUUCUUUUUGGCAAUAUGAGAAGUGCCGAUGUUUUUUAAGUAGAAAGUUCAAAGUGAACUAGCAUCCGAAGGCCUGACAGACUGAGAUAUGAAAUCAGAUUUCUUAUCUGAAAGCUUCAUAAAGACCAAUAGUGCUCCUGCUUCUUCCUGCCGUCGAAUGACACGAGCAGUCUCAUUGGGAUUGACUUAAGAAUGAAUGUUCCUCCUGAGGAUGUUAUCUCUACAACGACAACAGGAGCAACCGAGCCUCGUCCCACUAACUAGGGACAGUAGGAAUUCUAUCAUGCUGCUGUGCUUGAUCUUUUUCUAGAUUUUCUAUGAGCUCUUCCACGUCUUUCUGGUAUUUCCCCUACUUUUAACUAAUACAUCCCAUCUUCAUUCAUAUCGCCUCGCCGGGGCACCUAAAGGCCUUUGUUCGACAUUACCUAAUGAUCUCAGACGGCCUUAUCGCAUCUGAAGGCCUUCAAGAUGUUAUGCUGAGAUCUAGUGGCCACACUUCUUUCAAUUGUAAAGCCAUGCACCUGGCAAAAUGGACAGACUAUUUGAGAUUUCCAUUGGUUGCAUAAUCUCAAGGAUCUAGAAAAACCUACUUUCUAUCAAAAUAGGUGGAGACUAAAUCACGUGUUCUCACACGGCCUUUUUAGUCUCUUUAGAAAGGUAAAACUAAAUAGUCACUCAACCUCCUCUUUACCACUAGUUAGGGAAGGCUGCAUGUUUCAAAUAACUGUUCAAAACAUCUAGAAUUCAGAGGAGUCCUAAGUUUUCUCUGCCAUUUCUUCAUUUUUUGGUGGGAAAAUGACAUAAAUCGUCCAUGAAUUUUGGUCUAAUGUGCAAUACCGUUCAUUAAUUUUUAAGUUGUUCUAUGUACCUGUUGAACUUUGAUCCAAUGUGGAAUGUCAUUCUUCAACUUUUAAUUUGUUAAAUAUGAUCUGGACUAUUGAUAGAUGUUCUAUUUAAUCUCCUAGAUUAUGUCAAAUUGACAUAAACGGAAUGACUAUAUUGAAUGUUUAUCAGUAGUUUAGGGAUUAUUAAAUAGAUUAAAAGCUUGAGGACGAUAUUGCAUAUUAAGUUCAAGGACUAUACUGUGCAAAUUAAAAGGUCAGAGAGGAUAUUGUAAUUGGAUCAAACUUUAUGGACUAUUUGAACUAUAAUCCCUUCUUUGGUUGAGAAACGAUAACAAAAAUAAGAUCCUAAACUUAAGACACUUUAUGGGAAAAGGGUAGUGGUAGAGACGUUUGUUUUAUUUUCAACAAUAACUUUCUCUUCUUCACAUUGUGAUGUAAGAAAGCUACUUCAGAUAAUAUAUGAUUUUAGGUCGUCUCACAUGGCGCAGUAUGAAUUGAUGCUUCACUGCAUUAUGCUCACAUAAAGAGCAUGCAUGUCACUGUAUUAUGCUCACAUAAAGAGCAUGCAUGUAAUUAUUGCACAAAUAAGGUCACAAAUACACAUGUUGAAUCGAUAUUUUUGGAUAGGAGGGCCAUAACCAUGAACAACGAUAUCUGGGAUUGAAUUCUCGAUGCUUUCUUGCUUUUGUCAUCAUAAGAGGAGCCGUGUUUUUUUUUUAAACGCUUAAGCGAUUAAAAAGGGGCCAACCGUGAGUAACGUAUGAUUUCGAUCAUUUCUAGGAUCAUUGAAGUUGAACAAAAACAUUCUGUAUAACACCUAUAUCACACGACAUAACGAUGAGAUGGCGCUCAACCAAAUCAAUUAUUUUCGAUUAUUAAAAUGAUCUUUAAAUGUGAAUGCGCGAUGGCAAAAAGGAACAGAAUUGACAGACAAAUAUGAGGAAGGGUAAGAGAAGGCGAGGUGGUUGAAAAUGUUACGCAGCGUCGAGAAAGAGCCAGAAGCCCAUAACCAGAACGCUCGCUCAGUCUUAAACCUCGUUUCGGAAAAAUCUCAUGAACGCGCGAGAAGACCUCCUCUUCUGCCCAUAAAUACCCAGCACGUCCCUUUCCUUCCAACAAGGACCCAGAAAGCAAGCAAAUUCCCAAGAAACUCCAAACCCGAGCAGAAAUCAAUCCCUCGCGUCCUGCAAAGUCAAGCUUCAUUCCACCGACAUAUUCAGAGACGAAGUCGCUCAUAGUUUAACUUCGGGAUUUGUUGCCGGAGGGAAUCUUUGCUUUACUUCUUGAUUUUGUUCGCUUGUCUUUUGUUUGGCUUCACUUCAGGAAUUAUUAGGGAUUUUCCUAGCCAGCAGUGUAUAUUUUAUACGCUAGUUCACGAGGACCAGCCAGGGAAGAGGAUUGACGUGAUAUUCCCUUUAAUUACUCAUCCAAAUAAAUUAUCUGAAUCAAGAUGCUGUGAACCAGGACAGCUGCCAAGAAGCACAGCCCCAGAGAGAGAGAGAGAGAUAGAGAGAGAGAGAGAGAGAGAGAGAUAUUCUCUAAAUAUUCAUUAAAUGCCGUGUCAAACUUGACCAUAGGGAGAGAGAGCGAGCUUCUCUAAUUAUUCAGCAAAUGCCGGGUCAAACUUGACCACAGUUACAUUCCUAGCUUGCGCAAAUUGAACGUUAGGACUGACCUGCUUGCUUGUCCUUCAUUGCUGGGUCUUCGCAUCCUCCGUCCCAUUACUUCUCAUCUGAUUAGACUUACAAAGAGAGUAAAACCACCCUGGAUCAGCAAAAGCCCGUCUUCAAGUGCAUAACUUCGCAUAGCAUCUGAAUAUCUUCGAUUGAAUAAAGGAUAGAGAGGAUGGAAAGUGAUGGGCAAAAUGGCAAGAAAUUGAUCCUGGUCCCAGGACCAUUCCAGGGCCACCUCACUCCCAUGCUUCAGCUGGCGACAAUCCUCAAGUCCAAGGGCUUCUCCAUCACAAUUGCUCACACACUUUUCAACAGUCCAGAUUCUUCUGCUCACCCCGAUUUCACCUUCUUAUGCAUGCCUGACGGCUUGUCUGAAGAAGAGGUUCGAAACCCCGAUCUGAUGGGCAUCAUGCUGAGGCUUAAUGUCAAUUGUGAGUCCAGCUUUAGGGAGUGCCUAACUUGGGGCACAAACCAUAUGGAGCCAGUUGACAAGAUUUGCUGCAUCAUCUACGAUGCAAUCAUGUACUUCUCGGAAGCUGUUGCCCAUGAUUUGAAGAUUCCUAGCAUUGCUUUACACACGAGCAGUGCUGCUACUACCAUAGUCCGCCCGAUUCUUCUCCAGUUAAAGGCACAAGGACACAUUCCGAUCCCAGGUACAUGCUGAAUUUCUCUUAUUUAAGUUACACUCAUUUCUUUCUUGAUUAAUAUUAUGGUUGCGGAGAAUCUUGCUCGUAUUCCAUUUUGUUUGUGGGGAUGGAUGUAUCUACAAAAAUUUAUUGCAGUUUUAAAAUCUGUAUGUGUGACCUUCAUCAUGGCCCUAUAGUCCAUGAUCCGACGAGUCUCCUCUAUGCCUAUACUUUUUUCAAGACUGGUUUCUUUGUCAUCAUCCAAGUUUGACACCCAAGCCAGAUUAUCCUGAAUGUUGUCAAACCGCCAAGUAUAAAGUCGAUGGGUUCUAGCUCACUUGUCAUUGUGCUGACUAACAAAUGCCUUGUGUUGUGCUCUAUUAGAUUCCAUGUUGCAGGCUCUGGUGCCUCUGCAUCAGCCCCUGAGGUUCAAAGACCUACCACUCUCCAAUUUUGGAAGUUUGGACUAUUUCUUGGAGUUGUUAGUCUUGGCGAGUAAUAUCAGAUCGUCUUCGGCCAUUAUAUUCAACACGAUUCACUGCCUUGAAGAGUCACCUCUGGCGCAGCUUCACCAACAGUACCAGGUUCCGAUUUUUCCAAUAGGUCCUCUGCACAAACUCGCUCCUACUUCAGCUGUUAGCUUACUGCAAGAGGAUACUGGUUGCAUUCCAUGGCUUGACAAGCAAACUCAUAAUUCAGUCAUUUAUGUGAGUUUAGGAAGUAUAGCACAUCUGGACCAAGACCAAUUGUCAGAAAUGGCUUGGGGUCUGGCAAAUAGCAAGCAGCCUUUCUUGUGGGUUAUUAGGCCUGGCUCAAUACCAGGUUCGGAAUGGAUCGAGUCAAUGGCUGAAGAAUUCAAAGAAUGUGUUAAGGACAGGGCUUGCAUUGUGAAAUGGGCACCUCAAAAAAAAGUACUGGCUCAUGAUUCGGUGGGAGGGUUUUGGAGCCACUGUGGAUGGAACUCCAUCUUGGAGAGUAUAGAUGAAGGCGUUCCGAUCAUAUGUCAACCAUGCUUCGGUGACCAAAAUGUGAAUGCGAGGUACUUGACUCUUGAAUGGAAGGUUGGAUUAGAACUGGAGGGGGAGAUAGAGAGAGGGACAGUAGAAAGAGCUGUUAGAACAUUGAUGAAGAAAAAGGAAGGUGAAGAGAUGAGGCAGAGGGUCUUGGAUUUGAAGCACAAGUGCGAUGUUAGUAUAGUUGAUGGUGGAUCUUCUUGCCAUUAUCUGAGCAAGCUAGUCGAGUUGUUGAGAUCGUUCUAGCAGCACAGAGUUGUUUGCUACUAAAGUACCGCGCGGAAUGAAGCUUGUGUAGUGCAGAAAGUGCAAAGAUUUGGUCUUCAGGCAUUGAAGAACAGAACGGAACAGAACAGAUGAUGCUUUGAUGGACUGACAGAAAUUUGCUGACUUGUCAUAUGCAAAUUUAAGUUGAUCCAAUCUCCUUUUUUUCUCUCAAACCAGUGGACCAGAUCUGAAUGGGUCGAAUUCACUUCUCCUUUCAAGUUUGAGUAAACUUAACAUGGUUAUUCAUUAUGUCACAAUUUUGAAACCUAAACAUGACAAGCUUAUAAAAUGAUAGGACACAUUUGACUUGUUUAAGAUACGAACCACUAGAACAACCAUGUCAAAUACGUACAGAUGUGUAAAAGUGUGUUCAAAUGUGCGUAAAUUUUCUUAAGUGCAUUGUCUCGUUGCAACUAACUUAUCAACUAUGUCAUCAAACUUGUCUAAACAUUUCAUAGAAAGGAUCAACCCAGGACAAAUACUAUCGUGUCCACUGCUUGAGAAUGCCCUCAUGGUGUUUUAGUGAGUUAAGAAGAAAAAGAUCAGUUACUAGAGGAAGACAGAAGCAAGGGAGGACCCGGCAAUCUUACCUGGCCUCAAGGUAGAUAAGAGACCAGGCAAAAGAAAGAAAAUAUAAUAGCAGUCUUGUACAAGCGACAUUGUUUCUUUUAUGACACAAACCUCUAUAAAGUUGACAUGAGCACACUCAAUGACAUGCCGAGUAAACGGGCUGUGUCGAUAUCUGCUCAACCUCAUUCGAGAUUGAUCAACAUGCCCUACUAUUAUGUCCGAUGAAUGUUCUUCCAGCCCAGUAAAAAUAUCCCAUAUUAACAACCUUAAUCUCUUGUCGAUCGGCAACUCUUUUUUAUCUGUUGCACUUUAAUUCAAUGUGAAAAAUGGAGAGCGCAAAGUGCUCGAGAGGGACCAUAAAUUCACUUUUCUUUAAAUUAUGAGGAGUAGCUUGAGAACGAGGAUAGACCGAUGAUUUUCCCGUUUUGACAAGCCAGUGCCAAUGAUUGGAUUCUUACUAUCUUGAUUUUAUUGUAUGGAAAUUUUCUGUGAGGCAAUUCUAUUGGUUGUUUAUUUGUGAAACAAACAAAAUAAUGUUUUAUCUUGUGCCACAUAGGAAAGUUAGAAGGACGUGGGCCACUAAAUAAAUAUGAAUGUCUUCUAAAUGAUUCAAAUGAAGACAAUGGCUUGUGGGCUAGAUCCCAUAAUCCUCUCCCCCCCCCCCCCCCACAAUGAACCCACAAGCGGUGCCAUAUGAAUAGGGCAUCUGAAGGCCUUUUAUCGACGUUACCAAACCACCUCAGACGGCCCUAUCUCAUCUCAGAAUGCCUUCGAGAAGUUAUCCUACAGUGGUGAAUGUAUUGCUGAGGUCUAGCGCUCUCUGUUUUCUAGCCAUAUACCAGGCAAAAUGGACAGACUAUAUGAGUUUAGCUUCUGCUGCAUAGUCUUAAGGAUUAAUCUUGUCUAGAUUACUGUGCAACCUCUAGCGUAGGGGGCUAAUAUCUUUUUGUUUUUUACUCUGUCCCCCUCAACUUUGUCAACGUAUCUAAAUCUGCCCUAGAUAACUGACUUUCUAUUAAAAUGGGUGAAAACUAACUUAGGUAGCGUCACACGAGUCUUUUCAGCUUUUUAGAAGGAUGAAAGUAAUUAGUCACUCAAUUUUAGCCUUUACCACUGGCAUGGAAGGUUACAUGUUUCAAACAAACUGAUCAUGUUUAGUUUAUAAUUUUACGUAGUUCUAUAUGCUCUACCAAUUUCCCCAUCCUUUGGCCAAGGAGAGAAUUGAAAUUGAAGAUUGCUGCAUGAUAUAUUAUGAAAGUUCGCCUCAUGUGGGGCCACAGAUUCGAUGCCUCAUAUUCAUUACGCUCACGUGAAUAGUAUGCAUGCAAGUAUUGAACGACAUAAGGUAAUAGACACACAGAGUUCUAUCAACAUUUUGACUUAAGCAGGCAAAAAUUCGAGCGUAUUAAACACGGAAUUUUUGGAUAGUAGAGCCAUACCAUGAACUAGGAAAAUCAAGAAUUGAAUCUUCGACCCCUUUUCACUCUUGUCACUAUUAAAGGAGUCCGUUUUCCCCAAUAACUUGACUAUCAUGAAAUAAAUCAAUAAUAUAUUUAUAACAUACGACUUAACCGUCAUUUUAAGUAACAUUGAAACUUAUGAAAAACUUUUUGUAUUACACCUACAUCACGCGACAUGUUGGUGAAUAAGCAACGACAAAAAGAAACAAAAUGGAAUCAUCGGCUGUGAUGGCUCUGCUGGAUAGGCUUUUGUGAUUCUUUGCGAGAGAGGUGAGGAGUUCGAAUCUCUUGCAAUGUAAGGAGGCUGGUGGAGUUACUUGGUGGUUUCCCAUGUUGUCCCCAUAUUUUUCUCGCCGGCUGUCGGCUUAUGGGGUUUUCUGGAUCAUAAAAAAAAAAAAACAAAAUGGAAACCCUCGAGUCCAUAAAUGAUAAACAUGUCGACAUAGUAAUCUGGUGAAACCGAAAGAGAAGUACGAGGAACGUGAAAAAGGAGACGAAAAGGCGAGUAGUUGGAAAUGACACACGUUAUGCCCAUGACCAAUGAGCAAGGCCCAGCGUCGAGAAAGAGCUAGAAGCCCAUAACCAGAACGUUGGCUCAGGCUCAAACCUCGUUCCAGAAAUCUCGGGAACGUACGAGAGGACCUCCUUUUGUCCCCGUAAAUACCCAACACGUCCCUCUCCUCCCGACAAGGAUUCAGCAAGAAAGCCAAUCACCAAGGAACUCCAAAACCGUGCAGAAAUCGAUCGGGCGUCCUCCAAAGUCAAGCUUCAGUCCCACCGACUUAUUCAGAGACCAUGUCGCUCAUUCCGAGCUGGUUCGGUGGCCGACGCAGCGACGCCCUCGACCCCUUCUCUCUCGACUUCUGGGACUCCAUCGAGGACUCCCCUUUCCCUUCGUCUUCCCUCCCCGCCUCUACUUUCCGGGAAAAUUCCGCCUUUGUCAACACCAGGAUCGACUGGCGGGAAACUCCCAAGGCCCACGUGUUCGAGGCCGAUCUUCCCGGGCUCAAGAAAGAGGAAGUGAAAGUCGAGAUCGAGGACGAUCGGGUGCUCCAGAUUAGUGGAGAGAGGAAGGUGGAGAAGGAGGACAAGAAUGACAAGUGGCAUCGAGUGGAGAGAAGCAGCGGGAAGUUCAUGAGGAGUUUCAGGCUGCCGGAGGAUGCGAAGAUGGAUCAGGUCAAGGCUUCGAUGGAGAACGGAGUGCUCACCGUCACUGUUCCCAAGGUGGAGGAGAAGAAGCCCGAGGUCAAGGCCAUUCAAAUUUCUGGUUAGAGUCUGGAAUAGUAACUUGCGAGUGCUAAUGUGAAUUCGAGGCUUCGUGUGUGCAGAGUCUGUGCGCUUCAUCUCUUUCUUGUGUUUUUGGAGAGUUGUAUGAACCGGGUGUUGUCUCUGAUACACUGAUGUAAUCUGAACUGGCAAUACUUUUCUGGAAAAAAAACUUUACGUUAAUGUUGCAAUUGCAGCUCCAUUUUAUCUGGUAAAUUUGAUUGCUCGAGUGGAUGUUUGCUUUACUCUUGAUCUUGCUUGCCUAUCUUUCAUUUGGCUUCAAAGCUUCAGGAAUUAUUUGGAUUUUUCCUAGCUAGCAGUUUGCGUAGUGUAUUAUCCACUUGUUCACGAGCACAAGCAAUACAGUGGGGACCAAAAAAGCUGCCAAUAAGAAGACAGAGAGAGAAAAACCAAGUGCUUCUUUAAAAAGUUCAAUUACUCCGAGCUUUCGCAAAUUAACUAUUUGGUGUGUCCUGUUUAUUUGUCCUCGAUUGUUGGGUCUCUUCUGCGUAGAUUUUCAAAGAGAGUAAAACUAGCCUGAAUCAGCAAAAGCCUGUGUGUGUGAGAGCUUAACUCUGCAUGGCAUUUCAUAUCUCUGAUUGGAAAAGAGAUGAAGAAGAUGGAAAAUCAAGGGCGAAAUGGUAAGAGAUUGGUCCUGGUCCCGGGACUAUUCCAGGGCCACCUCACUCCAUGCUUCAGCUGGCGAUAAUCCUCAAGUCCAAGGGCUUCUCCAUCACAGUUGCUCACAAUUUCAACAGUCCAGAUUCCUCUGUUUUCCCCUAUUUCACCUUCUUAUGCAUACCUGACGGCUUGCCUGAAGAGGAGGUUCAAAACCCUGAUCUGAUAGCCAUUAUGCUGAGGCUUAAUGUAACUGUGAGUCCAGCUUCAGGGAGUGCCUAACUAGGGGCACAAAUCAUAUGGAGCCGGGUGACAAGAUUUGCGGCAUCAUCUACAAUGCAGUAGUGUACUUCUCAGAAACCGUUGCCCACGAUUUGAAGAUUCCUAGCAUUGCUUCACACACGAGCAGUGCUGCUACUACCAUAGUCCGCUCGAUUCUUCUCCAGCUAAAGGCAUUCUGAUCCCAGGUACAUGUUGAAUUUCUCUUAUUUAAGUUACACUUAUUUCUUUGUUAAUUAAUAUUAUGGUCACGGAGAAUCUUGCUCAUAUUCCGUUUUGUUUAUGAGGAUGGAUGUAUUGCCGAUUUUUUUUUUGCAGUUUUAAAAUCUGUGUGUGACCCUCGGCAUGACCCUAUAGUUUAUGAUCCGAUGAGUCUCCUCUGUGCCUAUACCUUUUCUAAGAAUAGUUUCUCUGUCAUCAUCCAAGUUUGACACCUAUGCCAGAUUAUCCUGAGCACCGUCAAACCACUAAGUAUAUAAGCCGGUGGGUUCUAGCUCACUUGUCUCCGUGCUGACUAACAAAUGCCUUUUGAUGUGCUCUAUUAGAUUCCAUGUUGCAGGCUCCGGUGCCCCUGCGUCAGCUCCUCAGGUUCAAAGACCUACCACUCUCCAAUUUUGGAAGUUUGGACUAUUUCUUGGAGUUGGUAGUCUUGACCAGUGAUAUGAGGUCGUCUUUGGCCAUUAUAUUCAACACGAUUCACUGCCUUGAAGAGUCACCUCUGGCGCAGCUUUACCAACAGUACCAAGUUCCAAUUUUUCCAAUAGGCCCUCCACACAAACUCACUCCUACCUCAGCUGUUAGCUUACUGUAAAGAGGAUACUGAUUGCAUUCCAUGACUUGACGAGCAAACUCAUAAUUCAGUCAUCUAUGUGAGUCUGGGAAGCAUAGCACAUCAGAACCAAGACCAGUUGUAUGAAAUGGCUUGGGGUCUGGCAAAUAGCAGGGAGCCUUUCUUAUGGGUUAUUAGGCCUGGCUCAAUUCCAGGUUCGAAAUGGAUCUAGUCGAUGGAUGAAGAAUUCACAGAAUGUGUUAAGGACAGUGGAUGCAUUGUGAAAUGGGCACCUCGGAAGAAAGUACUGGCUCACGAGGCAGUGGGAGGGUUUUGGAGCCACUGUGGAUGGCACUCUACACUGGAAAGUAUAUGUGAAGGAGUUAUGAUGAUAUGUCAACCAUGCUUUGGCGCCCAAAAGGUGAAUGCGAGGUACUUAACUCAUGAAUGGAGGGUUGGAUUAGAACUGGAGGGGAAGAUAGAGAGAGGGACAGUAGAAAGAGCUGUUAGAACAAUGAUGAAGGAAAAGGAAGGUGAAGAGAUGCGGCAGAGGGUCUUGGAUUUGGAGCACAAGUGCGAUGUUAGUAUAGGUGAUGGGGGAUCUUCUUGCCAUUAUCUGAGCGAGCUAGUUGGGUUGUUGAGAUCAUUCUAGCAGCACAGAGUUGUUACUACUAAAGCACCGUAGGGAAUGAAAUUUGUGUAGUGCAGAAAGUGCAAAGAUUGUCUUCUCACAUUGAAGAACAGAACAAAACAGGUAAUGCUUUGAUGCACCGACAGGAAUUUGUUGGCUUGUCAUAUGCAAGAUUUGGUCUUCUGGCAUUGAAAAACAGAACAGAUAAUGCUUUGAUGCGCUGACAGAAAUUUGUUGGCUUGUCACAUGCAAGUUUGAGUUGAAUCAAUCUCUUUAUUUAUUUAUUUAUUUAUUUUUUAUCUCUAACCAGUAUACCUGAUCUGAAUGGGUCAAAUUCACUUCUCCUUUCGUAUAUAAAAAUGUUGAAUAAACUUGACAUGGUUAUUCAUUAUCUCACAAUUUUGAAACAAAAACUAUGGGACACUUAUAAUUUGAUGGGACAUAUUAGAUCUGUUUAAGAUAAGGACUAUUAAAACAAACUUGUCAAAUAUGUUUAGAUGUUUAAAGGUGUGCUCAAAUGUGCACAAAUAUUCUUAGUGUGUUGUGACUAACUUGUCAACAUCAAAUUUGUCUAAACAUUUUAUAGAGAGGAUCAAUCCAAAGAUGAUAGCAGUUGUGUACAAGCAUAUUGUUUCUUUGACGACACAAACCUGUGUAAGCUUGACAUGAUGACGUGCUGAGUAAAUGGGCUAUGUUGAUGUGUGCUCAGCCUCAUCUGAGAUUUUGAUUAACAUGCCCUAAUAUUAUGUCCGACGAAUGUUCUUCUAGUCUAGAAAAAAAAAAAAAAAAAAAAAACAAACGUCAGAAAAAAGUGGAAUACCUUUACGAAUGUCCUAUAUUGAUUAGGGGUGAGCGAUUCUGGGUUCCUUAGAGGUUCCGCCUAGAACCUAGAACCUAGAACUUACUAUCAGAUACAGAUUUCUCAUUUUUUGGAACCUAGAACCUAUCCUGUCACAGAUUUUAAGGUUGAUUUUAGGAUCCAACAUGUUUUUUUUUUUCAUUUUUAAUUAAACAAAGCGAAAAUGACGCAAUAAUAAUAAAUAAGCUUGUCAUUCAUCAAAGAGAAUACACAAAACUAUCAAUAGAAGAAAAUGAAUUCUUGGCAAGAAAUUCAACUAGAUAGAAGUAAGGAUGAAUGAAUCUAAGUUACAUACAAGUUUCACUUGAAACCUACCCGUUGGAACAUGCACCUCAUUUUUUUAGAACUAGAAACCUACCUUGCAUAUCCUAGAACUUGGAAUCUAUUCUGUCAUACGUUUCAAGGUUUACCUAGGUCCCACUUAUAUUAUUAUAUGAACGAUUACAAUUCACUAAUCAUAACUUAUAUUUAGAUAUAUGAAAAAUAUGAACAUUAAUAAAGUAAAAAUCUUAGCCACAAAAUGGAAAUUCGGAUUAGUGUUUUCAGAUUAUAUACUCAUUGUUGAAUAACAUAGAAUAUUGGAAGAUCGCAUGGAGAUAUGGAUCAAGAAAAAUAUUAAAACUUAUUUCAGGUUGUAGGUUACAGAUUUCAGGUUGUAAGUUCCGAGUUUCUCCAAUUAAGAACCUAGAAUCUACUCGUUGAAAUAGAUUUAUCAUUUUUUGGAUUUUGGAACCUAUUCUGCAUAUUUUGGAACUUGCAUACUUUAGAACCUAAAACCUAUAGGUUUUCAUCGGUCCUCACUCGUCCAGUUCUCAAAUUCCAGAUUCUAUCAUGAAACCAUGUUUACCCCUAAUAUUGACAACCUUGAUCUCUUGUCAUUUGGCAUUUUCAUUUCUCUGUCGCACUUUCAUUCAACGGUGAAAAAUGAAGAGUGCAUGCUGCUGGCGAGGGACCAUAAAUUCACUCCUCUUUUCCUUAAAGUUUAUGAAAGAAUAGCUUGAAAAUGAGGACUGACUGAUGAAUUUUCCUGUUUUGACAAGCCAAUGAUGGUAAAAUCGGACUCUUAGGCACUAUUUGGUAAUCAUCCAAACAAUGCCUGAUUUUGAUUUUUUGUUCCCAGAAUCGGUUUGGGAUGAGAAUCGCAUUUGGUAAUUUUUUUUUCUGGGAACAAAUUUGUUCCUGGGACGAGAAUCAAGAAUAAAAGAAAAGUUGAUUCUUAUUCUGGGAACAAAAUUGAGAAUCAAAACUCUUCUUCUUCUCUUUUCUUCUUCUUUAUCGAUCGCCAUCCCAUGACCGCCACCCGCCGCCGUCCACCACCGGUCGCUGCUGCCCAUUGCCAUCGGUCGCCGCUGCCCGCCGCCAGUCGCCAGCGAUCGGUUCGACAAGCUCACCAAGCUAAAGCGAGGUCUGGCGAGCUCGCCGGUGGCCAAGCGGGCCUUGCCCAACUACUGGCGAGGCCGAGCUGACGAGGGCCGGCGACCGGCUUGAAAAAGAAUUAGAAUAGGAGAAAAAAGAAAAAAAAAAAGGAAAAAAAAGGAAAAAAGAAAAGAAAAAAAAUGAAAAAAUGAAAAAAUUAUUUAAAAAUUAAAAUAAAUUGAUUUGGAACAGAAUCAAUGAACACGGUACCAAAUGCAAGUAUAUGUUAAAAUCAGAAAUUUUGUACAAUUACCAAACACGUUCUUUUACUCAGAAUUAGUAUCGGGAACAGAAUAAAUAAUAAUAAUUUUUGAUCGGAAUUUGUUUUUAGGAACAUAAUCAUUACCAAGCGCGCCCUUAUUAUCAUGAUUUUAUUGUAUGGAAUCUUCUAUGGUCCAUCAGAUUGACGGAUUUUAAGGCCACAACAAAUCUUAACUGCCCGCAUUCAUGUAACCUCUAUACAAAAUGUUGUGAUACACUAAAAUUUGAAGGCAAUCACGAUAAUAGGCAAGAUACUCUUCAUUGAAUUCGGCGAUUGUUGACCGUUACGAAAUCUAUUCCAAAUGAUCCUUAGAAACACCCUAUUCUAUGAUCUCUUGAGGGACUAAUCUCUCACUGAAUCUCAUUGUGUUCGAGUUACUUAGUCCUAAACCUUUUAACAAUUUACCAAUUUACUUUUUAACCUUUCAAUUGCGAUAAUUUAGUUCUGAAGUAUUUGGUAAUUUGCUAAGAUAUUCAUUUCUAUGCAUCAUUAUUCUACUGACUUAUACAUCUUCGCUUGAAUAGUUACAUAUUUUCAUACAAGACAAUAUUUUUUCUGAUGUGUUCCACAUGCUUUUUAUAAUUUAUUUAAUAUAGUGCAUUGGAUUUUCAAAUAUGUGACUUAACUAAUGCUCGUGGUAUAAUUAAUAAUUAUGUCAGAAAAACCGAUUUCUUAUUUUCAAAAGUAAAAUAUUCAGAACCCCUUUGAUUUGGUGAUUUUUCCUCGUGGCCUCGCUUUUAAUGUAAUUUUAGCGUUACGUAAAUACCCCCUCUGUCCAAUCAGAUGAUUAGGGAUUUAGGAGGAUACUUGCACAUAUAUUGGGGGAAGGAACUCGUAGAAAAUGACGACAGCAUGCAAGAGAAAAGAAAGUAUUUUAUGUGAUGAUUACAGUAUGAUCGUGAGGAUGUGGUGAAAUCGAAUUUAUAAUUAGUUGCAUGAAUCUUAUCUUAGUUGACGUCAUGCCUAUUGCAUUUUCACUUUUAACUGACUUGUUACACCACUUGUUGUUGCCAUGUAAUGUAAUCGAUGAUGGCGUAAUCAUUGUGUACGAUGGCAUGGGCAGAAGUAAUGAUAAUUUAUUGAAAUUAUUGAAGAUGGAAUUGUGGAAAGUGAAAUAAUGAAAACGAGAUUUGGUUAAAAUUUAACGACUGUACUCGCUAUUGACUUUUUCAAUGAAGAAAAGGAACGUCUGAGAAAAAGACCGUGAGUACUAAUAGAAAAUGACAUCUCGUAGCUGGGGUUAGAAGUACCAUUGCUCUAACAUUAUUGGCCCAGUAUCAUUACCUAUUAGCAAAAUACCAUAUUUUCCUUACAGAUGGUAUUUCUCUAAAAGUAUCCGUUUGAUUGGUGGAAAGAUAAACAUGAUUCGACCAAUUAAACUAUAAGCCCAUAUGGAUCACCAAUUAAACUAUAAGCCCAUAUGGAUCUCUACAUGCAAUUCGCUCACUUUGGCAAGAGUGGACGGAAAGAGAAGGCCUUUGCUCUAUUUGCUUCUUCCUCUUUCUAGAAAUGAACAAUUGCAAAAAUAAUUUUCUUUUAUUAUUUUAUUAAUGAUAAAAUAAUAGAAUAAAGAGAUAGAUAGCCUGAUUUUAUUCCGAUAGAUUGAAAGAGUAGGAAUGGUUAAAGAGGAAAUCUCCUCUUUCUAUUUAUUGAUGAGACAAUUAUUGAUUUCUUGCCUAAUCUAAAUAAUAGAAGUUCCUUUUUAUUUUCAUAAUGUCAGCAAGAGUGUUGAUUCCGUGCAUUAAAAUCAUAGAUCCUGUUGUGACUUCCCUUGACCUUUGGAUUUGUGUCAAUCCUCUUGUUUCAACACUAGUUGGUCAUCUACUAAUUUGAUAAACUGGUGGGAUGAUUUCAAAAUCGAAUUCACUUUGUUGAUGGUGCAAUUGAUUAGCUUAUGAAUUUUGACUAAGUAUAUAGCGUGGUUCCUGAAUUUUAACUCAAUAUGCAAUGUGAUUUUCGCACUUUUAAUUUGUUUAAUAUAAAUUUUGAAUUUUUAGUAAAUAUCCGAUUUAAUCCUUAAAUAUGAGAAAAUAUUUAAUAUUAUACUUUCGUUCAUGUGUUUUAAUUGACCAACCAGGAUCUGGUGGUGCCGGAAAAGUACUGGCGAGGCCCAGUCCGCAGUUUCCAGAUGGACCAACCGGGUUCGCCAUUUCGCUUGAACGGUCGUCCGCCGAAACUCGGAAAGACCGCGAAGGUACGAGAAUGAUCCUCUCUUUCCUAUUUAACUCCCUACUUCCCUGCCCAACCCCUAUCGUUGAACGAUAGCAAUUCUCAUAAUCUACUUCACGCAUUCUAUCGGACACUUUGUCAACUCAGUCUCACGUUUUCAUUGGUAACCCAGCAAGGCAACAACCAUGUCGCUCAUCCCAAGCUGGUUCGGCGGCCGUCGCAGCAACGUUUUCGACCCUUUCUCCCUCGACCCCUGGGACCCCUUCAAGGACUUCCCUUUCCCUUCCUCAUCCCUCUCUGCCUCUAAUUUCCCUCGAACGUUCCGGGGGAACGCCGCCGCCUUCGUGAACACGAGGAUCGACUGGAAGGAGACCCCGGAAGCCCAUGUGUUCAAGACGGAUCUCCC